UACGUAGGUGGCGAGCGUUGUCCGGAAUUACUGGGCGUAAAGGGCGCGUAGGCGGAUAUUUAAGUCAGAUGUGAAAACUCCGGGCCCAACUUGGAGAUUGCAUUUGAAACUGGGUAUCUUGAGGACAGGAGAGGAAAGCGGAAUUCCUAGUGUAGCGGUGAAAUGCGUAGAUAUUAGGAGGAACACCAGUGGCGAAGGCGGCUUUCUGGACUGUAACUGACGCUGAGGCGCGAAAGCGUGGGGAGCAAACGGGAUUAGAUACCCCUGUAGUCCCU
rnacentral:rRNA from 1 species